rnacentral:rRNA from 1 species
CCUCGGGAGGCAGAAGUGGGGAAGAGUGGGCAAGGGGCGCAAGCCGGACCCAGCAACGCCGAGUGAAGGAAGAAGGGUUUCGGGUUGUAAACGUCUUUGAAGAGGGAAGAGCAGAAGACGGUACCGCUUGAAUAAGCCACGGCUAACUACGUGCCAGCAGCCGCGGUAAGACGUCGGUGGCAAGCGUUGUCCGGAUUUACUGGGUGGAAAGGGCGUGCAGCCGGGAAGACAAGUCAGAUGUGAAAUCCCGCGGCUCAACCGCGGAACUGCAUUUGAAACUGUUUUUCUUGAGUACCGGAGAGGUCAUCGGCAUUCCUUUUGUCGCGGUGACAUGCGUAGAUAUAAGGAAGAACUCCAGUGGCGAAGGCGGAUGACUGGACGGCAACUGACGGUGCGGCGCG